AAUAGAUACCCAGGUAGUCCACGCCGUAAACGAUGAGUGCUAAGUGUUAGAGGGUUUCCGCCCUUUAGUGCUGCAGCUAAACGCAUUAAGCACUCCGCCUGGGGAGUACGGCCGCAAGGCUGAAACUCAAAGGAAUUGACGGGGGCCCGCACAAGCGGUGGAGCAUGUGGUUUAAUUCGAAGCAACGCGAAGAACCUUACCAGGUCUUGACAUCCUCUGACAACCCUAGAGAUAGGGCUUUCCCCUUCGGGGGACAGAGUGACAGGUGGUGCAUGGUUGUCGUCAGCUCGUGUCGUGAGAUGUUGGGUUAAGUCCCGCAACGAGCGCAACCCUUGAUCUUAGUUGCCAGCAUUCAGUUGGGCACUCUAAGGUGACUGCCGGUGACAAACCGGAGGAAGGUGGGGAUGACGUCAAAUCAUCAUGCCCCUUAUGACCUGGGCUACACACGUGCUACAAUGGAUGGUACAAGGGCUGCAAACCUGCGAAGGUAAGCGAAUCCAUAAAGCCAUUCUCAGCUCGGAUUGCG
rnacentral:rRNA from 1 species